AACGAACGCUGGCGGCGCGCCUAAUACACGCAAGUCGAGCGAGAAGACGUAGCAAUACGUUUGUAAAGCGGCGAACGGGUGAGGAAUACAUGGGUAACCUACCCUCGAGUGGGGAAUAACUAGCCGAAAGGUUAGCUAAUACCGCGUACGCUCCUUGGACUUCGGUUCAGGGAGGAAAGCGAUACCGUGGGUAUCGCGCUCUUGGAUGGGCUCAUGUCCUAUCAGCUUGUUGGUGAGGAACGGCUCACCAAGGCUUCGACGGGUAGCUGGUCUGAGAGGACGAUCAGCCACACUGGCACUGCGACACGGGCCAGACUCCUACGGGAGGCAGCAGUAAGGAAUAUUGCGCAAUGGGCGAAAGCCUGACGCAGCGACGCCGCGUGGGGGAUGAAGGUCUUCGGAUUGUAAACCCCUUUCGGG
rnacentral:rRNA from 1 species